UAAACUCCGUCCUGUGAAAAUGUGAUGUGAUUCUACAUGUUUGACAGAUUUAACUAACCUAUAACCUAUAAUUCCAAAAAAGCAUAAGGGUACACCGGCAUUUCCUAGAUCAUCCUCGUUCGAGUUAUAGUGUUGAAGGGAGUCAGCAUAAUCUAAAAAUAAUAAAAAAGGUUGCAGUUAUUGGUACAGGAAACGAAAGUAACAUUUGGCAUGAAGGAGAUGAUCGCCAGUUCAACUUUUAUGGUAGUUUCUUGCUUCACUAUGACGACAUCUAUUAUUGAUUUCGAACUUCUGCUUCUGACAGAUCGAAUAGUAAAGACGGCGAGAGACGGUUCCCCAAAAGGAAGACGAUCAGUGGUAUGGAAACACCAUGAUGAAAACUAUGGCGAGAAAUUUUACUGGAGGCACACUCAAAAACAGACAGAGUCAUGUCUACAGAAAAAGUAGUAGAAGAAGAAGAAGAAAUAAAAAUAAUUUCUGCUUGGGCUGGUCAAAGUAUAUUUGUGAGUAUCUUUGUCUUCGUAAAAUCCAUUCAAAAUUUUUAGGGAGUUUUGUUCGCAGAUCUCUAUUCGCCAUUGUCAUUGUUUAUAUUUUCUCAAUGCUUUUGAACUUUUUCAUGUACUUUUCUGACUGUCCAAGCAUUAAAGUCGUCGCCCAGUGGAACAAUUUCUUUUCUACUUCCUAUAUUAUUAAUUUGGUCUGAUAAGUUCCUGUAAAAUCCUUGUUUGAUACUAAACUUACGUGCAUAGAAAUCGGCCCACCUAAAAAUUUGGUCAUUUUUGAUGACUCGUAUUUCCUAAACCUGUUGGCCGAUUUAAAUGAUCUCUUGAACGUGUUAUAGCCCGAUUCUUUAACAAUACCACUGUAACAAUAUUGUUGCUAAACAGAAAAAAUUUUAUUGUGUACCGGGUGUACCAAUCAAACUGUGUUUUUUCCUUAAAGUUCGCAUCACCCUGUGGAAUAUUAUAGCAUAUAUAAAAUACUGAAUUUAAAACUCAACUAUACCCUCUGGUUUUGUUAACAUUCUGUUUUUUGAUUCAUUCGUUUAUGUUGGAUAAUAAAAAAGUUAGGUACUUUAACAACUAGACAUGUUCUUCAUCAAUACACGGUGUUUCUAAAUAAGUGCGACAAACUUUAAGGGGUAAUUCUGCAUGAAAAAAUAAUGACAGUUAACUUGAUAAACGUUUGUCCGCAAAUGUUUCGUUUCCGAGAUACGGGAUGUUGAAUUUUUUCUUACAAACUGACGAUUUAUUUAUUGCUUUAAAACCAGUUGAGAUAUGCAAAUGAAAUUUGGUAGGUUUUAUAAUAGAUAGUUGACCGAUCAUAUUACCCGUAUGUACGUCAAUGGUGAAUAUUAAAUUCUUAAUUUUGUGUCAAAAAAUCCGCAAUAACUAUCUCUUAAAACCUACCAAAUUUCAUAUUCAUAUCUGAACUGGUUUUAAAGCAAUAA